AUUGAACGCUGGCGGCAUGCCUUACACAUGCAAGUCGAACGGCAGCACGGGUGCUUGCACCUGGUGGCGAGUGGCGAACGGGUGAGUAAUACAUCGGAACAUGUCCUGUAGUGGGGGAUAGCCCGGCGAAAGCCGGAUUAAUACCGCAUACGAUCCACGGAUGAAAGCGGGGGACCUGCGGGCCUCGCGCUAUAGGGUUGGCCGAUGGCUGAUUAGCUAGUUGGUGGGGUAAAGGCCUACCAAGGCGACGAUCAGUAGCUGGUCUGAGAGGACGACCAGCCACACUGGGACUGAGACACGGACCAGACUCCUACGGGAGGCAGCAGUGGGGAAUUUUGGACAAUGGGCGGAAGCCUGAUCCAGCAAUGCCGCGUGUGUGAAGAAGGCCUUCGGGUUGUAAAGCACUUUUGUCCGGAAAGAAAUCCUUGACUCUAAUACAGUCGGGGGAUGACGGUACCGGAAGAAUAAGCACCGGCUAACUACGUG
rnacentral:rRNA from 1 species